rnacentral:snoRNA from 1 species
CUUCGGUGAUGAUGCGAUGACGAGUCAGACUGGGCCCCACACUCUGAGGGCGGGGUCACGUUCUGUGGCCCCUCCCCUCAGAACGGGUUCCGACACAUGAAGACUCUGAGGCAUUUGUCUGAGGAGG